CCUACGGGGUGCAGCAGUGGGGAAUAUUGGACAAUGGGCGAAAGCCUGAUCCAGCCAUGCCGCGUGUGUGAAGAAGGCCUUCGGGUUGUAAAGCACUUUCAGUGGGGAAGAAAGCCUUGGGGCUAAUACCCUCGAGGAAGGACAUCACCCACAGAAGAAGCACCGGCUAACUCCGUGCCAGCAGCCGCGGUAAUACGGAGGGUGCGAGCGUUAAUCGGAAUUACUGGGCGUAAAGCGCGCGUAGGCGGUCUGAUAAGCCGGUUGUGAAAGCCCCGGGCUCAACCUGGGAACGGCAUCCGGAACUGUCAGGCUAGAGUGCAGGAGAGGAAGGUAGAAUUCCCGGUGCAGCGGUGAAAUGCGUAGAGAUCGGGAGGAAUACCAGUGGCGAAGGCGGCCUUCUGGACUGACACUGACGCUGAGGUGCGAAAGCGUGGGUAGCAAACAGGAUUAGAUACCCCAGUAGUC
rnacentral:rRNA from 1 species